AUUACGCCUCUACGCGGCGUUACGUCACCGAACUCCCCCAGGGCAGGAAUGCAGCAAGGGUAAGUGGCCUCUGUCGGGUGCGUAGAGGUUUUUCCAU
rnacentral:SRP_RNA from 2 species